rnacentral:rRNA from 1 species
UACGUAGGGUGCAAGCGUUGUCCGGAAUUAUUGGGCGUAAAGGGCUCGUAGGCGGUUUGUCGCGUCGGGAGUGAAAUCCACUGGCUUAACUGGUGGCUUGCUUUCGAUACGGGCAGACUGGAGGUAUGCAGGGGAGAACGGAAUUCCUGGUGUAGCGGUGAAAUGCGCAGAUAUCAGGAGGAACACCGAUGGCGAAGGCAGGUCUCUGGGCCACUACUGACGCUGAGAAGCGAAAGCAUGGGGAGCGAACAGG